rnacentral:rRNA from 1 species
ACGCACGCUGGCGGCGUGCUUCACCCCUGCCAGUCGCACGGUAAGGCCCCUUCGGGGGUACACGAGUGGCGAACGGGUGAGUAACACGUGACCAACCUGCCCUUGACUCUGGAAUAACAGUUGGAAACAGCUGCUAAUACUGGAUAUUCAUCGUCUCCUUCCUGGGGGGUGGUGGAAAGCUCCGGCGGUCAGGGAUGGGCUCGCGGCCUAUCAGCUUGUUGGUGAGGUAAUGGCUCACCAAGGCUUCGACGGGUAGCCGGCCUGAGAGGGCGACCGGCCACACUGGGACUGAGAUACGGCCCAGACUCCUACGGGAGGCAGCAGUGGGGAAUAUUGCACAAUGGGCGCAAGCCUGAUGCAGCAACGCCGCGUGCGGGAUGACGGCCUUCGGGUUGUAAACCGCUUUCAGUAGGGACGAAGGGUGACUGACGGUACCUACAGAAGAAGGACCGGCUAACUACGUG